rnacentral:lncRNA from 1 species
GGGGAUAUACAAAGAAGUUCAUUUACUGGAGUGAUUUCACAAAAAUUAUUUUCCUGCAUAUAGAAGUUGAAGUUUGAGAGACUAAGACGAUCAUUGUGGCAGUGAGAUCUCUCUUUCCUAUGUUGAAUACAUCUAUUUAUUGACUCCCUCUCUCAUAUAAUUUUGAUUGAUCUUUUGGUGAGAAAUUGUUACAUUUCCAAACAUCUAUUGUAUACAUAACAGAAGGUGGCCAGGUAGAUGCUAGAACCUGCCCAUUUUGCACCCGUAGUUGCUUUCCGUGCUUGUCCAAAAGAGUAUUAAAAUGAAA